rnacentral:misc_RNA from 1 species
AGCAGCCGCGGUAAUUCCAGCUCCAAUAGCGUAUAUUAAAGUUGUUGCAGUUAAAAGCUCGUAGUUGAAUUUCGGGAUCAAUUAAUCGGUCGUGCCUCUGGUACGCACUGGUUUUAUUGGUUUCUCCCUUCUGACGAACCAGGAUGUCAUUAAUUUGGUGUCUUGGAGAAUCAGGACUGUUACUUUGAAAAAUUGAGUGUUUAAAGCAGGCUAACGCUUGAAUACAUUAGCAUGGAAUAAUGAAAUAGGACGUUUGAUCCU